UGGCGAACGGGUGAGUAACACGUGGGUGAUCUGCCCUGCACUUCGGGAUAAGCCCGGGAAACUGGGUCUAAUACCGGAUAGUACUGCGCGGUGCAUGCCGUGUGGUGGAAAGAUUUAUCGGUGCAGGAUGGGCCCGCGGCCUAUCAGCUUGUUGGUGGGGUAAUGGCCUACCAAGGCGACGACGGGUAGCCGGCCUGAGAGGGCGACCGGCCACACUGGGACUGAGACACGGCCCAGACUCCUACGGGAGGCAGCAGUGGGGAAUAUUGCACAAUGGGCGCAAGCCUGAUGCAGCGACGCCGCGUGAGGGAUGACGGCCUUCGGGUUGUAAACCUCUUUCAGCAGGGACGAAGCGCAAGUGACGGUACCUGCAGAAGAAGCACCGGCCAACUACGUGCCAGCAGCCGCGGUAAUACGUAGGGUGCAAGCGUUGUCCGGAAUUACUGGGCGUAAAGAGCUCGUAGGCGGUUUGUCGCGUCGUCUGUGAAAACCAGCAGCUCAACUGUUGGCUUGCAGGCGAUACGGGCAGACUUGAGUAUUUCAGGGGAGACUGGAAUUCCUGGUGUAGCGGUGAAAUGCGCAGAUAUCAGGAGGAACACCGGUGGCGAAGGCGGGUCUCUGGGAAAUAACUGACGCUGAGGAGCGAAAGCGUGGGUAGCGAACAGGAUUAGAUACCCUGGUAGUCCACGCCGUAAACGGUGGGCGCUAGGUGUGGGUUUCCUUCCACGGGAUCCGUGCCGUAGCUAACGCAUUAAGCGCCCCGCCUGGGGAGUACGGCCGCAAGGCUAAAACUC
rnacentral:rRNA from 1 species